rnacentral:rRNA from 1 species
UGAAGAGUUUGAUCCUGGCUCAGGAUGAACGCUAGCGGCAGGCCUAACACAUGCAAGUCGAACGGUAACAGGGAUUGCUUGCAAUCCGCUGACGAGUGGCGCACGGGUGCGUAACGCGUAUGGAACCUACCCUUUACUGGGGGAUAGCCCGGAGAAAUUCGGAUUAAUACCCCGUAGUAUUGCUUAGUGGCAUCACUUGAGCAAUUAAAGCUUCGGCGGUAGAGGAUGGCCAUGCGUCCUAUUAGCUUGAUGGUGAGGUAACGGCUCACCAUUGCUACGAUAGGUAGGGGCCCUGAGAGGGGGAUCCCCCACACUGGUACUGAGACACGGACCAGACUCCUACGGGAGGCAGCAGUGAGGAAUAUUGGACAAUGGUCGAAAGACUGAUCCAGCCAUGCCGCGUGCAGGAAGACGGCCCUACGGGUUGUAAACUGCUUUUUUACGGGAAGAAUAAUGCCCACGUGUGGGCAGAUGACGGUACCGUACGAAUAAGACCGGCUAACUCCGUGCCAGCAGCCGCGGUAAU